CAGUCUCUGGAGUUCUUUUUAAAAAUUUGUGAUGUAUAGUGUGCCAAAUUAUGAAAGAAGAAGACUUCUGAUUACAACGAUAACAGAGGAGCUUAUACUGAGCUGACACUCCUGCUGGAAACAUCCGACACAGGUGGUUAAAACACAUCGUAUAAUCAGUUGAAGGCACUGGAAAGGGACGAAUGAAGAUGAUGUCUAAGACAAAGCAGCCACAUCCAAGUAAGCUUCAUAUUCAUCCUGGCCCAAUUCAUAGGGCAGGAAAUAGAGCAAGCAGCAGUUCCACUGAGCUGAAGAGACAGAGUGCUGUUCAAAGCUGCUAAUGUGGCUAGGCUGUGGUGGUAAUAAAAUCCCAGAGAGAAGUACUGCAGAGAAGCAAACCCCAAACUCCCUCCUUGAGAUGUUUGCCAACUUCUAAGCUGAGCAAGCACAGGCAGAGGCUGCAAGAAAAGGAAGAGAAGGCAGCAUCUUGGGAGGCUGAAGAGCUAUGCAAAGGUUUUUUGCAGCUCCUAGCUACUGAAGAGAGUGCUAGGAGGCCCACCCAGGUGGAAUAGCAACACCCACAUUUCUAGUUGAGAUCCCCCAAAGACUACAGCCUGGUAACAAAGGCAAAAAUGAAACAGACUUAACUUAAUAAAGCUUCAAACCUAGCUUAACAGGAUUUAGGUGACCCACCUGCAUUCUGUCUGCCUCCAUUUUAGGAGAACAUAAAAUAAUCCAGAGCCUCAUAAAGUUCAUAACCAAUAUGCUACAAU
rnacentral:lncRNA from 1 species